rnacentral:misc_RNA from 1 species
UUCAGAAUGUCUGUGAAUGUAGCCUGCAAAAGGAGAUGACAGCUUAAGUUUGCAAUGACAGCAUUAAUUAGUAGAAGACAAAAAAUAAACACAAAAUCAGAAUUCAUCUAGUUUGUUUUACACGAAAAGAAAAAUAACAAGUUCAAUUGCAAACACAUGGUUUGGGAAUAUCAACAAAAAAGACCACAAACAUGCAAAAAGCACAGUCAGACUGUUCUUUUAACAUUUUUGAAAUGACCAAAAAGCUAGCGCAUUAGAUAAUCCUCAUUUUAUCUCUCCAUGUUUUGCCAAUUCUUAAAGUACCAAAUCUUAGACAAUA